rnacentral:sRNA from 1 species
UCCGAUCUUCACCGCAUCAGGAGCGCAUU